UACGAAGGGGGCGAGCGUUGUUCGGAUUUACUGGGCGUAAAGGGCGCGCAGGCGGUCUUGCAAGUCAGGCGUGAAAGCCCCGGGCUUAACCUGGGAAUUGCGCUUGAUACUCUGAGACUGGAGUACGGGAGAGGAGAGUGGAAUUCCCAGUGUAGAGGUGAAAUUCGUAGAUAUUGGGAAGAACACCAGUGGCGAAGGCGGCUCUCUGGACCGUAACUGACGCUGAGGCGCGAAAGCGUGGGGAGCAAACAGG
rnacentral:rRNA from 1 species